GUAGUGAGGGAGGAUGCAGAUACCCAGAUGAGAGGUGAUGAAGAUGAGUUUAAUGAGUAGUAGCCCAGAACAGUCCAGUUCAGGCAGCAUAGCAGAAAACUAGCAACAGGUAAAUACCGGUAGCAACUGCAAAUACAAGACUGACGGCGAGAGCUGAGUAGACACAGGACUUCACAGUGCGACUGUGUGCAACUACUGGCAAACGACAAGGACAAAGACAACAGCUGUGGAUGCAAAAAUCCACAGGAGUGAAACUCUUAACUCCCCCCGGCUCCCAGAAAAAUAAAAACGAGGUAAAUCAUUCAUUCUCCAGAACAACAUCCUCCUCCUGCUGCUCUCUUUAAAGGCUGUUUUUGUUGGCUCUGCCCUCAACUGAAACAUCUCCCUCAUCAGGUUGGGUGAGUUUCUGCUGCCGCUCUUCUAAUUAAAACGCAUAACUGAAAAAUAAAAUAAAAUAAAAUACAUAGCUACUCUUUGAUCCCACCAGCAUGGCAGAGGGUCUCACAUUCUUUCUCCUGAAAGUGGCUUAGGGUGCUCCUUUAUAUACGGUCAGGUUUGACCUUUGACCUGAAUAAUAAGCAGCAUUCUCCACAUCCCAACCUUCUCUUUCUCUCUCACUCUCUUAUCUCUCACUAUCUAUAUCUCUCUCUCUCCCUCCCCGUCCGUUUAUCUUUGUUUUGUUCCACUCACUGGAAUUACAUGUCGGAGUCAUUCACUCAUUCCAGUGCGUCGUUCAAGGCAAAGGCAUUCAAAGAUGUCCUCCCUUUGGAUAAGUUUGAGUCUGUUGUAUCUCCUACAAGACAGCGUUUCAUCAGAUGCAGUGGUGUCGCUGACUUGCCCAGAGACAAAACCAGUCCAAACCGGUGCAACAGUUACAGUAAACUGUUCAAUAAAAUGGAAAACUAACCAGAGCUGUACCGUUACAAAUUCCUUUAUUCACACAAAUGGCACCAUCACUACAUGUGGAAUUACCUCAGGAAUGUACAGUUGUGGCUGGGAUAACUCCAAUGUGAACCUGACGAUCGUUGAAGUAAAAGAGGACAAUAUCACAGUUGAGAUUCACUCUAACUGUGGUUUGGCUUCUGAUCUUAUCCAGGUGCAUGUCGACGAUAUUCUACUCACAACACCAAAGUCACCACUUGAGAUCAACCAAGAAAAAGAGGCCCAGCCCUAUCUGAUUCCCAGCAUACUGGGUGUUUUUGCAAUCAUUGUUGUUGUGACCAUUGUGUUUAUUAUUAAAUAUUGUACAAGGAAAUCACAGCAGAAUGACACAACACAAGGAUGCUCAGAAAUCCUUUUGAAAUCUCCAUAAGAAAUGAAAGAGAGUUUUCGUCCUUUCAUUCUUACAGAACUCUUUUGGACGGACAUUGGUCAGAUGGUGGCACGUUCACUGAUCUGAAACCGGGACUAUUAACUCUUUGUGAGUCAAUUAAUAAAGCUGCUGCUGGUGGCAGCUUUGUGUACAUGUAUUGUGUACAUAUCUGUGUGUACAGGCUCUUUAUCCAUAGAGUGAUUGAGUGCUGCCUUGCUGCUAUGACCAAAUUUAACACGGUUAAGUGUUAAUGUUUUGUAUAUGCAUACUGCAUUUGUUGUAAAUGAAAGAUAUUCCUCAUUAUACUGUUUUUAUUAUGAAUUAAUCUACUACUUCCUUUCAACAAGGGCCAUUUACCGUCUUGAGACACACAUUCAUUUAUUCAGUUUUCUUAAGGUGAUUCACACUAAUGACCCACAUUAAAAUCUAAAUCUAUUCACGUUUGAUAGCUACUUUCACAUGGCAUAGUUGACUUAUAUCAAUUUAUGGUGUACAUUGAAAUCCCAUUACAUUAACCUUUUCUGGAGGAUGUAGAGAUCAGUUGGGAGGGGAGUACCACCUGGCACUUUCCUUGAUACCAAAGAAAUAUGAAGUUUGCAAUAAUGACCAAACAUCAGUUUGCAUCCAGUUUCUAUGGUAACCAGUGUUGGGUAGGUUAGAUUAAAUAAUUAACUGGUUCCCAGAAGAAAUGACCAAAAUUCAAGUAUAUCAGUGGAGACAUUUAAUUAAUUACAUUUGUUUAUUUUUGGGGUCUGUUAUAGGCGAGGGGGGCACUUCUACAGUAACUUCUACAGUUCUGCAAUGAUAUGUAGAGAUGGGAGCUUCGAUUAGACUAAAAACUUCAGGAUGUAUUUUUAUCAACGAGACAUUCACACGUCUUGAAAAGACUUAUUUAUCUUGAAGAAGCCAGUUUGGGAUAACUCACAUUAAUGAUGGCUGGGAGGAUGCAAAUCAUUAGACUUUCUUUUUUACAACACAUCUAUUCAAUGUAAAACUGUAUUCAAUCAAUUCUGCUUCCAUAGUGUUUUUGUGCAUGACAUCAUGACGAGGUCUGAUAAAAGAACAAGAGCUAAUUCGUGUUGGAGCUGUGAACUCCGAUCAAAAUGUUGAACUGUGAACAUGAAUCAGUUCAUUUUAACCUGAGGGAACUUCAUUCAGAACCAGACCUUUAGAAGGAUGAACUGGGAAUAAACUCAGCACAACAAUGACACAAAUACCAUUUAUUUCAGCGGUCUGAGUAUGACAUCAUUCCACGUCUAAGUCAAGGAAGCAUUGGGAUUUGCUAACAGUUAGCAUUGGGAUUGUGUAUUGCUUACUAAUAUGCAAUACACACCAAUAUCAAUGUAUUUCUGUUUUUUUUUUAUUAAAUGAAACACUAGUGUUGUUACUUUGUGUAAACAUCACUAAAGUUAUUGUGUCUAUGAUGAAUUUGUAAAAAAAAAAUUGAAAUGUAAAUAAACAGUUUUGAUAACUUUUGCUAUC